rnacentral:rRNA from 1 species
AUUGAACGCUGGCGGCAGGCCUAACACAUGCAAGUCGAGCGGAUGAAGGGAGCUUGCUCCUGGAUUCAGCGGCGGACGGGUGAGUAAUGCCUAGGAAUCUGCCUGGUAGUGGGGGAUAACGUCCGGAAACGGGCGCUAAUACCGCAUACGUCCUGAUGGAGAAAGUGGGGGAUCUUCGGACCUCACGCUAUCAGAUGAGCCUAGGUCGGAUUAGCUAGUUGGUGGGGUAAAGGCCUACCAAGGCGACGAUCCGUAACUGGUCUGAGAGGCUGAUCAGUCACACUGGAACUGAGACACGGUCCAGACUCCUACGGGAGGCAGCAGUGGGGAAUAUUGGACAAUGGGCGAAAGCCUGAUCCAGCCAUGCCGCGUGUGUGAAGAAGGUCUUCGGAUUGUAAAGCACUUUAAGUUGGGAGGAAGGGCAGUAAGUUAAUACCUUGCUGUUUUGACGUUACCAACAGAAUAAGCACCGGCUAACUUCGUG